AGCCUGAUGGUGUAGUGGUUACACAUCCUCAAGUUUUGAGGUGUAAGAAAAGGUUUGUGAGGAAGUCCCCUGUUCGACUCAGGGUCAGGCUG